GGGCUGAGCAGCACAUCAGGUAUGCGUGACAAACCCUGUGGCUGUCUGUGGGUCAGUGUCUGGAAUGCUUCCCUGCUAAAGGGCUGUACCCAACAGUCACCAGGGCAUUUAGUCCCGAGUGCACCAACACAACUAACUGCAGUUAGGCAGACGAGGAAGGAAAAAUGCUUUAAAAGAGUCUCCUGCGCUUCCAACCUCUGUGCUCGUGCAAUGCCUCGCAGUGUGUCUGCUGCUGCUCUUCCCCCACAGCCUGCUGGUCAUGCUGACCCAACACAGGGCUGGAGCUGGGACUGCCCUGGCAUCUGAGGACCCGAUGGAAAGUAAGGAAUCCUGCAUGCUGUGUGGAACCGGGAGCCUGGACAGGCUGGCUGUGUGGCUGUGCUGCCCAGUAACAGCCUGUGCAGGUGAGGCCUUCUCAGCCAAAGGCUGCUCGGGUGCUGGAAUGUGAUCCCUGCUGGCUAAUCUAGGCACAGCUGCUGCUUGAACAGCUGAGCAGCCGGGCCAGCUGCUCGGGCAGGGCAAUGCCCCUCUGUGGAGUGUUUUAUGGGGAGGCUGAGGGGCUGCCUUGCUGUCAGCAGCACUGCUCAGAGCAGGGCACCCCCAGGGGAGAGGCAGGAGCCCUGCACAGCAGGGCCAUGCAUAAUGGAGGGGUGACUCCUGUCCUGCACCUACCCCAUCGCUCAUGGACAGGAAGGUAAGUGUUUAGGGGCUUGGGUUUGUUUAUUAGGGAAAGCUAAAGGCAAGUCUUGCUGGUGCUUUGCCUUGUCAAGUGAGACUUGGGAUUUUUGUGUUUUGUAGGGUAUUUGGGGAAAAAAGAACAAUUUUUGCCUUGUUUCUUCCUCUGUCACAUAACCUGGCUGAAGCAUCAUGGCCAGGGAAAACGGGACCUCAAAGCCCCCUAUAAACCAGCUGUGAGGCCAUGGUACUACACGGACACUUGUUGGGUGUGAGAAGAACUUCUUUCAGUGGAGCAGGCUGCCCAGGGAAGUAAGUGGUGGAGUCACCAUGCCUGCAGGGUUUUCCUCCAGUCACCCAAGGGAGAUCGGUGCUUUCCCACUGUGCCUGCAGCCAGCUGGAGGUGGCUGUCACACGGUCCUGCAACAGGCCAUGACUUACCUGGAGACAGCUCUGGAGAAGGUGCUGCACCCCGGUACCACAAACUGACUUGGCAAAGAGCCCCACCCAUGGUCACCUACAAACAGAGGCCUGGCAAACAUCCCCGUGGCAGGGAUUCCACACCAACACCCAAACCAGAUCUUUCUGUUAUAAAAACAAGGCUCAUUUUAGAAAAAAACCUGCCAGGCUGCUAAAACCCCGUUCCUUGAGAUGUGUUUUGGGGAAGGGGUAGCACAGCAGAUCGUGCUCGCUAUACUUGGUGUAUUGGCUUUCUCCACUGCAGCCACUGCAAUACAGGUUCAGUUGUAAAAAUCUCACGUAGCCAGACCCAAAAUGCAGAUUUGAAUCAGUAAGUUUACAAGGACUGGACAGUAAGUGUAAAAUUCUAUCCCUGGUACUCCUGUCCCACGAAAUCAUGUAACCAGUCUGGGAAAUUCUGGGUUUCCAUUAUCCUCCAGUUUCAUAACCACAGGAGAAAAGCAAGGUGGGAAAAAGAGCAAUGAAUGCACUCCCCUUUUUGCCAGAGGUAAAAGAAGUAAAUCCUCUUGCCUGAGAAGUAAAUCUUCAGCCUUGCCUGAUGUUUA